rnacentral:rRNA from 1 species
UAUGGAGGGUGCAAGCGUUAUCCGGAUUUACUGGGCGUAAAGGGCGCGUAGGCGGUCGUGACAAGUCACUUGUGAAAUCUCCGGGCUUAACUCGGAACGGUCAAGUGAUACUGUCGGACUAGAGUACAGAAGGGGCAACUGGAAUUCUCGGUGUAGCGGUGAAAUGCGCAGAUAUCAGGAGGAACACCGGUGGCGAAGGCGGUUCUCUGGGCAUGUCCUGACGCUGAGGCGCGAAAGCCAGGGGAGCGAACGGG